UGCAGCGCAUGCGCAUUCAGCUGAUGACGGCCAAAGGAGGAGGAGAGUCCCCAGCGCCGAGGGAGCCCGGCGCUGGAGAAAGGUGAGUUUUUAACCCCCUUCCUCUCCAUUCAGCCUGGCGGGAGGGGGACCCUGAGGGUGGGGGCACCCUCAGGGCACAAUAGUGCCAGGAAAACGAGUUUGUUUUCCUGGCACUAUAGUGGUC